rnacentral:lncRNA from 1 species
GAGAGAGAGAGAGAGAGAGAGACAAUUGGAGAAGAGUGACAACUACUUUGGAAAAUCAAAAAGAAUAAAGGAAGGGAGCUUUCAGGCCUUGAUUCAUCAUAGAGAUAGCUGGAGUUGUUUUAUUUUCCAGGUAGUGGUUACGAAUUAAUUUGGGGUUAAGCCUCUUGAGUUUAUGCUUAUAGACAAUAGAUUGAAGUCUUCUACACUUGAGGUAUGUCUCCGCAUAUGGGUAAUAGCUAGAACAGAGAGAGUAAAUUCAUGGAUCAGAAUAGAAAGAUUAGUUUAUGUUCAUUGUAUUUUCUAAGCAGUGUUGUAGUUCGAUUUUGGUUAGGAUUUAGAACUCCGUUUGGCUUGAAAUUUUGCACCAUUAUUCUUCCUUGAGGAUACUCUUGGUCUGCAAAUUUUGGUGUUAUUUGAUAAGAUAGUUGAAUUAUAGUGAUUUUCUAAAGAUAAGUGUACUGUGCUGAUGAAAUUGUAUUCGGUGUUAUGUGUGCAGCUGUUUUGGAGUCUGAUUUUGAUCAAGAUUUAGGACUCCAUUUGCUCUGAAAUUUUGUACUCUUUUUCUUCCAUAUGUGAACUCUUGAUCUAGAAAGUUUGGUACUAUUUGAUAGGGUAGGCGAUUUGUGGUGAUUUGCUUACCGAUUUUGACAGAUGCUCCAAAAUUUAUGGAUUUGCAACAGUAAAGAAAGAGAGAAAGAAAUGGAUACUUAGGUAUUUUAUGUCUGAGAUUGAAUGAGGUAUCUGAGGCUUAACGAGGUUUUAAAAUUUUUGUACAAACAUGAAAUUGCUUUACCUUGGUCAUCUUAUCAUAUGUAAAGUUUUCAUUUUUCUCAAGUAUAUAAGCAGACUGGAAUAGUCAAGGUAAGAUACUUUAGUGCCAUUCUACAUCAUUGUAAUCAUAUUGUUUUAUCAAGUUGGAUUGCUCUUCUGCUCUUUUGACUUCUAUUCGAUUAAUUGUUCUUUUUUUUCCUCACAGAACUACAAGUUCAGAGGCUCUGCAUUCUGUUGUUUGUACCAGUUAUUGGUGGGUGAAAGAAAUUUUUCAUUAUGAGAAUUCAGAUCUCUGCAUCUAUCUAUGGUGUUUGUGUCAGUUAUGAUAUUUUGGAGUUAAUGGUUUGGAUUAGAACUAUAUUAGACAGAUAUCCGAGAGGGGAGUGUUUUAUUUUUCAGAUAAAACAUGACAUAUAUGUUUCAUUUUCACUAAUAGUAGCACAUAGGCUUUGUAUAUCAAAUACACAAGUUUUUAACAAAUGGAAAGAAAGGAAUUAAAGAAGUAAAGAAGGGAGUUAUGGAAGUGAUCUAUGAGAAACAAAAGUUGCAUCUAGACUGGAAAACAUUGCAAUCUAAUGGGUAUGUGCUGUCAAGCUUCUAUACAUAAAAGUAAGGGGCAUGUGUGUUGUUCAGGUCACUGAUUGUCGUAGUUUAUAGCAGUUUAGGUUGCUCAAAAAUUGAGUACUCUCAUAAUUUAUUAUGCUUAUAAUUUUAUUAUGCU